UGCCCACGCUUUCUCGAGAGCCCGCGUUAGCAAUAUUAGUUGAACGUGAUUAAGAUAUAAACAGUGCAUGAAUGUUCUCACAAUUCAGGUCAUUAAUUAAUUAGCUUGGUAUUCGGUAUCCAACUUUUUGAACAGCUGAUAGGUUAGCUAAAUUCUGCAUAAUAAAUUAACAACUAAACGGUCUGCAAAGGAAAGGAAA
rnacentral:lncRNA from 1 species